CCUGGGUGUAAGUCCCAUGGAACUCAGUGGGCCUCCUGUCCAAGUAGACGUGGGUAGGGUUGCAUGGCUGGUGAAGGAGGCCAGCUCCAAAGCGUGGAUGAUUUGUGCCAAGUGUUGUGUUGUUGUUGUUGUUAAAUAUGGAAUUAUUUGUCUGCAGUGUGAACACAUGAGCAAUGGAGAACAAAGUUUUUAGAAUGUGCUGGGCUGUAGGUGGCUGUCCACGAGCGGGCAAAGGGGUGUCAGGUCCAGAAGGAAGCCCAGGAGGUUUCCGCUUGAGUGAGUCUCUGACGGUCCAGCUCAAGAGGAGCUUCCUCCUAAGUGGCUCUUGAAAGCUGCAGGCGGAGGUCCGUGCUGCCUCUGUGCACCUCCCGGUCUCCUUUCCCAUGUGGCCCACGUCCCAUGUUUCCCCUCCUGCCGAGGAUGCUAGGCCUCUCCUCCCGUAGGUGAGGGUGAGCGAAGAGGCAGCGAUCCAACGCUGGGCACCCUCCCGCUGUGGACACAGAAGGCGCCUGCAAGGAUUCCGAGGUGGUCCUGCCUGGGCUCUGGGCUUUGGGACAACAACUCCCGGAAUCCUCUCGGGCAGCCUAGCCUGUGGAAUUCUGGGCAUCGUGGCUCAAAAGAACUCUUUCGGACCUUCCUUCUCCUUCGAUCUCUGACCCAUCGUUUCCCUUCUGAAGCAGACACAGAAGCGACAGACCUUUGGAACGGCAGGACAGGAACGUCUCCUUCAAAAGCCUCUCUGCGAUGCAAAAGGCAGAGGUCUUUCUAAGGGAUGGCUUCUGUCAUUUCUUUAAUAAACAUGGAUCGGAUGCAGCUGACCAGAACAGUACCCUCAGCAACGCUAUCAUGGCGGCCGCAGGGUUCGGCCUGGCUGGGCUGGCUUUCCUGUUGGCUGUCCGAUAAGGACUUCACCGACGGCCGUGACUUCUCCGGGUGGGACUGGGGGGGGGCGGGCAGGCGGACACCCCCCCCCGGUCGCUUCCAAAGCUGCCGAAGAACCCGUGAAGAGUCCACUCUAUAUUUCUCUGAUGGUGGAAGAGAGGAGCAGCUCCAUCGAUAGAUAUAUUUUAAAAGUAGUAUUGGCUCAGAACACGUGAGGAGGGCGCUGCUUUCUGGAAGUCCAGGGAGCCACGAAAUGGUGGCCGGGCACCUCGUUCUGGAUUGUAGGGAGAGAGAGUGAUCCUGGUCGCCGGCCAUCCUGGGGGCUCUGCUGAUGGCAGGAGGCGGUUCCUUCAUGAUGGCGAUGGCUUUGCAAGGGGACUUAAGCAAAGACGUGUGUGGAUUUCUGUGUGUGUGUGUGUGUGUGUGUUGGGGGGUGGGAUUGUGCGGGGGGGGAGGUGUUUGUUGCCUUGUGAAACGUGAGCCAGUAUUAGCCAGAGCAAGAAGCUGAACUCUGCCACCCCACGGGGCAGCGCAGAGCGUGGCGGGCCGCACCGCCCAGACACGCCGAGCGGCAGGAUCCAUGUUGCACAGACACACAGGCUUGCUUAACAUGUUUUUGUUAGAAUGGCAUUCGUAUUAAUUACACUACAUACACGCUGAGGGGACGAGAAUGUUGAUACCAAAACAGGGAAGGGUGCAGAACCCGUUCUAUAAACCGAAGUGAGUUUAACGGUUGGAAAACCUUUCCGGGAGAAUCAAAGGGGGAAUUCCAUGGGAGGCUGGGAUUUCUAUGGAUUUCCUGCCCGAUCCAAAAACUCCAUAUAACUUAAUAUAUUUUUUGAAGUAUUUAUCACUGUAUAAUACUGAGUAGCUGGUUAACAUCUAUUUUUGUUAUAUUCCAUUUUUAAAAAAAAAAAUGAAAAGAGGCUCUCAAAACUGCUUUCUGGGCUGUACCUGUCUUCUACCUAACCGUUCUAGUUUUGGUAUCUGCUCUGUUGUGUGUUGUAAAAACUUGUCUUUGAAAGUGUUUCGUGUCCUUGGCUUUAGCCUGUACAGUUUUAAUAUGUGAAUAAACUUAACUGAAUAUUUUUAUUUUAAA